UACGUAGGGGGCAAGCGUUAUCCGGAUUUACUGGGUGUAAAGGGAGCGCAGACGGGUAUGCAAGUCCGAAGUGAAACUCCACGGCUCAACUGUGGGCUUGCUUUGGAAACUGUAAAUCUGGAGUACUGGAGAGGCAAGCGGAAUUCCCGGUGUAGCGGUGAAAUGCUUAGAUAUCAGGAGGAACACCGGAGGCGAAGGCGGCUUGCUGGACAGAUACUGACGUUGAGGCUCGAAGGCGUGGGGAGCAAAC
rnacentral:rRNA from 1 species